GACAGAGGAUGCAAGCGUUAUCCGGAAUGAUUGGGCGUAAAGCGUCUGUAGGUGGCUUUUUAAGUCUGCCGUCAAAUCCCAGGGCUCAACCCUGGACAGGCGGUGGAAACUACCAAGCUGGAGUACGGUAGGGGCAGAGGGAAUUUCCGGUGGAGCGGUGAAAUGCGUAGAGAUCAGGAAGAACACCCGUGGCGAAGGCGGCCCACUGGGCCGGACCUGACGCUGAGGCGCGAAGGCGUGGGGAGCGAACGGG
rnacentral:rRNA from 1 species